rnacentral:rRNA from 1 species
GACAGAGGGUGCAGACGUUGUUCGGAAUUACUGGGCGUAAAGGGCGCGUAGGCGGCCUGUUAAGUCGAACGUGAAAUCCCCGGGCUCAACCCGGGAACUGCGUCCGAUACUGGCAGGCUUGAAUCCGGGAGAGGGAUGCGGAAUUCCAGGUGUAGCGGUGAAAUGCGUAGAUAUCUGGAGGAACACCGGUGGCGAAGGCGGCAUCCUGGACCGGUAUUGACGCUGAGGCGCGAAAGCCAGGGGAGCAAACGGG